ensembl:snRNA U6 U6 spliceosomal RNA
GUACUUGUUUCAACAGCAUAUAUGCUAAAAUUGGAAUGAUACAGAGAUUAGCAUGGCUCCUGCUCAGGGACGACAUGCAAAUUAAUGAGGCAUUGUAUAUUUUU